rnacentral:rRNA from 1 species
GCCUAACACAUGCAAGUCGAGCGCCCCGCAAGGGGAGCGGCAGACGGGAGAGUAACACGUGGGAACGUACCCUUCAGUUCGGAACAACCCAGGGAAACUUGGGCUAAUACCGAAUACGUCCGUAAGGAGAAAGAUUUAUCGCUGAAGGAUCGGCCCGCGUCUGAUUAGCUUGUUGGUGAGGUAACGGCUCACCAAGGCUACGAUCAGUAGCUGGUCUGAGAGGAUGAUCAGCCUCACUGGGACUGAGACACGGCCCAGACUCCUACGGGAGGCAGCAGUGGGGAAUAUUGGACAAUGGGCGCAAGCCUGAUCCUGCCAUGCCGCGUGGGUGAUGAAGGCCCUAGGGUUGUAAAGCCCUUUCGGCGGGGAAGAUAAUGACGGUACCCGCAGAAGAAGCCCCGGCUAACUUCGUGCCAGCAGCCGCGGUAAUACGAAGGGGGCUAGCGUUGCUCGGAAUCACUGGGCGUAAAGCGCACGUAGGCGGGUUCUUAAGUCAGGGGUGAAAUCCUGGAGCUCAACUCCAGAACUGCCCUUGAUACUGAGAAUCUUGAGUCCGGGAGAGGUGAGUGGAACUGCGAGUGUAGAGGUGAAAUUCGUAGAUAUUCGCAAGAACACCAGUGGCGAAGGCGGCUCACUGGCCCGGUACUGACGCUGAGGUGCGAAAGCGUGGGGA